CUCCCUUCUUGACCUUACAAAGGGUCUUAGAGUCCUUGAUCUCUCCUCGGACCGUGAUGCUGGCUUUGGGAAUCAAUGGUUUCCGCAGACCAGAUCAAGAGCAUCCUUCCUCCGUGUCUACCCCAGAAGCUGCCUGACUUCUAGAUGAUGCCAGCACCUGCAGUCCUGACGCAUCUCUGCCUUCUGAAACUGCACGUUCUGCCUGCCAGCAAUUCACAGACACACGAACACUCCCAUGUCUUAUUUAAAUUGUAAACCUUUCUCGAUCCAGCCUCUCUGCGGAUUAUAGCCUCUCCCUCCCUCUGCAGUGAACUUCCGGAAAGUUUCAAAGUGCAGUCUGCAUUCUUUAUCAACUUCCUCCUCCUUCAUCUCCUUCACCCUCACACCCUGCAAAACUCCACUCAGAGCCAGCACACUGCACAGAUGUCUCUCAGUCCCCCCUCUUCCCCUGGCCUUGACAGCUUUGCACACUGGGGACUGCAUGCUCUGUCCUUGACUUGGGGUUUCCUGGCAGCACCUGGAGGGGCCUGGCUGCAACUCUUCUCUGCUAAGGUUCCCAUGAAUCCCUGGAGUCUUUCAUGGUGUGAACGGCUACUUUUUUUGGGUCGUGUUUAUUGAAAAGUUUCAGAAACUUCUGCAUCCUUAGUUCCCCAAGUUAGGGUUUUUAACUAUUACUUCUCUCUGGAGGGAAUCAGGGCUGGUUGGAGAAGGCUGAUUUCGUAAACAGAAUGGGGUAACCUCUAACACAGCCUUGCACUGGAAAGCAGGGAUGCACUAGGAGCCUUCUGAGGUCUUGGGACAAGCUGGGGCAAAACUGGCACAGCUUAAUGUCACAAACAGCCGUAACUGCAGUGGCUCCAAAACAUUUCAAUUACGUUGAAGUCUAUUUGUUCAUAAUGUUAUUUUCUAAAAUACAUUGAUUACCUUUGAAGAGUGCUAAGGAACCCAACUCAUUAUUUUUAAAAGCUGGCAAAGAAAAGAAACGAAGUGACCAUUUAUUAUCUUGACUUUCUUGUACAAACUAUCCCCAGACUAUAACCAAAUAAUUGAUGAUGGCAAGUUUCUCUCCAUAGAUGCAAGCCAGCUAAUAAGUGAGGCAGGGAUGUUAGAAUUAGAAUAGCACAGUUUUGCAGGCCCUUAUGAUUUAGUGAAUCUUGGCAUUGAAUGUAUAUGGCAGAGGGACAGAGGGAGAGAGAGAGCAAACCCAUCCCAGAUGGAAGCCCACCACGCUGCCUGUAGCCUGUCCUUCCUCAGAUAAUCAAACCUGACUCUGGCCAAGCCUGUACAGCAUAGGAUUCUCCAGGGGCCCAAAUCUGGCCCACAUUUGUAGAAAUAAAAGUUCUAUGGAAGAUAGCCACAUGCAUUUGUUCAGGGAGCUGUGACAGGCAGUGUCAGCCACAGAGCUUCGUGUAUUUACCAUCACUUACGAGACAAUUAGAGGGAUAUAAAC
rnacentral:lncRNA from 1 species